ACAGAACUGUUUGCUCGUAGAGGGGGGUGGGUGGCACUCUGAAGGCUAUCCAGCACGAUCCGGCCCUUUCCCUUGGCAAUUCUGUGACACUUUCCAAUCUAAGGCCGACAGAGCAAGGCAACCAGAUUUUUUUCUACAGCACCCUCCCAGGUGAGCAGUGGGCCUGGAGCCCUUCUGUAACCUGGCAUCUGUAGGUCUUCUCAUUAAGAACGAGAGUCAGAAGAGGAAAGGACUUAACACUCAUUACAACUCAGUCAUGGGCAGGCACUCUGAGUCCUCCGCAAAAGAAUGUGCAGGAUCAGAGGCCUCUUUCCAUUCUGCAAGGGUCACGCAAGACCCAUGGAAUUCAACAGGAGGCAAUCUAGGGACUAUAAAAGGUCGCGACGUCUGGCUUGAGGUUAAUGGAAGUUACAAAGGGUCAAAAGCCGACAGUGAGCGCUACCAGGUGUCGGGUCGGCGUAGUGCCGGCAGUGCAAGGCGCACGUUACUGUGGACCUGAAGGCUCAGGCCUUGGUGCCAAGGCCGCCCUGUGGGCUCAGGAUAGUUUCCCACCUACUCGACUGUAAUUAGUACUCUGGCGAGAGUAAAAAGGUACUGGCGUGGGACUUAGAAUACAGGAUGCCACCGGCUGAAGAAGAACCUUGUGUGUUUGGAAAAGCGGGCUGCUUCCUAUCGGUCUUGGAUAAAAGGCAACCCAGAGCCCGGGUGCAUCCCUAACUCAUGCCCAAGGAAGGUCGUGCGGAGCCAGAGGACCUAGAAUGUAUAGUGCGCCUUCUGGGUUUGUCCACACAAUAGCGCAGGAACACAGCGACCCAAUAUAGUGAGAAGUGGCCGCAGCGCACACCCUGAGACCCUUCACCAGGCGGCCCACCCGGAGCCUGCCUACUCAGCCCCGCUACCACGAUAAGCCUGGAAUGUCAAAUAUUUGUUCUAGGAACCCAGUGAAACCUUGAGGUAAAGCCCCUCCCCUCCUCCCUCCCAUUCCGGAGCGCGCCUGCGUCAGUCCAGGCUUUCCGGUAAGGACACUCCCUUCCAACUAGUUCCUUCUCGACACCCCUGCAACCCAUCGUCCUGACUAUUUAAACUUCACAAGGUCUUCGCUACAGGCUCAGGUUCAGUGAGGCAGAGUCUUGGCUUCCCUACCCAGUUAUCCCAGAGCUACUGGUAUCGGUUUCUACCCACAACCUCCGAGCAAGGCUCCCCUUUCAACCUGUAGACCUCGCCUCCCGAUUCUCGGGAGAUCUUGCUGACUGUGGAAUCCCUGGCUGUUCCGAACCCCCUGGAAAGAAGCGGCUGUUCCCAGGUUUCUGCAAGGUAACGAAUCUGAAGAGUCAACAGAAUUGAGCGGCUCCAUUCAUUCGACUCUGGUUCUCUCAACCAGGCAUUCCCCAUAUUAAAACAAUUCCAGAACUUCAAA
rnacentral:lncRNA from 1 species